GAAUUUCUGGGAUGGUGAGCACAUGGAGAUUUGGGGGAGGAGGGCAGCCUGGAGAGAAUGUGGAAGCUCAGAGCCCCUACCUUGCCCUCUGCCUCUCUUCGCCUGACUGUUCCUGAGUUUUCUCUUUUGUUAUGAGCCGGUGGUCUCGAAAGAAGGACAAGGAAGGAGUUCCCAAUAGGGAACAAUGCGUCUGCUUCAGAGUGUCAACGUGAAAAGCUGCCAUCAGCAAGGAGAAUCUUCCUAAAACAGGCACAAAUGAUGGCUUCAUGGUUAAAGUAAGAGUGGAUAAGAAGGGCCGAAGAAGCUGUCGAGGCUCUCUUGAAGACGUCCGAUGUGCCAACGGUACGUUGACAUCGAAAAUCCAUCCACCUGCGUCCUCCAUGAGUGGAGUCAUCUAAGAGAUCUCACCACCAUAAGAUUCCACACAUAAGUGAUAUGAUGCUUGUCUUUGACUUCUGUCACUUAGUAGGAUCAUCUGUAGGUCCAUCCGUGUUGCUGCACACGGCAUUACUGCAUUCUUUUUUAUGUCUGCUUGAAACAAGACAAUUCAGGAAAACCUGAGAGGAUGGAGUUAAAACGGAUCCAAACAGCACAGGCAUUUGAGAACCCGAGAUUUCAAAGCGGGCGCCGACGCACAAGGCAAGAUGAUGUUUACGAUCCAUCACGGGUUCCUGAAACGCUUAAAGAGAGUGAUGAAUCUGGAAUGGAUGUUUGGCAACACCCUCGAGAAAGCAGUGUUUCUCCUGAUACACCUGCUCUGAUUAUUUGCUCACGUGGCUGCACAGAUGAGCCUGCAAGGGACAGAGGAGUCCAGGGUGGCUGGAUCAGGGCAUCUAAUGCAUGGAACCUCUGAAGACUUUGUUUGACCAAAGAGUGUCUUGGCAUUGGUUGGUCUUCUGGUGUUGGUCGUUACCGUGAGGUUUUGAAAGUCACCCCUUCUGCAACAAGGCAUUUCAGGAAAGGAAACAGGAUUCUUGUAUACAGUAAGAAAAAAAAAACAAAACAACACAAUCUUAAAGGUAUCCUCCUUCUGGGGAAAAAAAAUUGCAAUUUUUCAUCUUAAAAACGAUUGGAAUUGCAAGGCAAGCGGGGACAACGUCUUUUAUGUGUGUCUCUCUGUGAGAGCACACAAGGAUAACAGGAGAGCAUAAUGGGUAUAUUCUAAUUCUAGUGUUAGAGAAGGUUUCUCAACCUUGGCACUAGCGACAUCUGUGUCUGGAUCGCUCUUCGGCUGGGGAACGUCCUGUGCCUCAAGGAUGCUGAGCAGUAGCCCUGACUUCUGCCUGCUAGAUGCAGUGGUACCCUCUCUAGGUGACACACCAAAAAUGACGCAGCCUUUGUCACUAGCCUCGUAGGGGGACAGCAGCGCCCCAGUUGAGAACUACUAUGUGGGAGGGAUAACAUCGUUUCUUAUAAUUUCUGCUGUUGGAGACAUUUGUUUUCCUUUUCUCAUGUUAUUUAUCGUCUGGAAUCUUCCUGCCCUCACUUCCUAGAAAAUAUACGUUGCCUGAGAGAAGGGAUCGUGUCCACUUUGCUUAGCAUACGCAGGUCGUAUCAGCUUUAAGACCUAACUCCUUGAAUACAGGAUAGAAAUCAAAACAAAUCUGCUUAUGCUUUGAGUAGGUAAAACAUGCUGUGAUCUCAUUUAUAAUAUAUUUAAACCUCUCCAAGUCAUUAAGCGUUACAUUAAAUGGAAUUUCAUGGAUUAGUGAAAUUUGCAAACAAUAAAAAUCCUUCACGU
rnacentral:lncRNA from 1 species